GCAUGGUGGUGCAGUAGGUAGCACUGCCAUCUCACAGCUCCGGGGUCCCUGGUUCAAUCCCUGGUUCAUGCU